rnacentral:lncRNA from 1 species
CUGAUUUGACUUCUCUUCUCUCUCAAGGAUCAGUUUGAGGAAGACAAGUGUGAACCUACAAAAAGCGUGAACCUGCAAAAAGAUCAACCAGAGUUACCUGCCUAACCUGAGUCUAGAGUGAAGUGCACUGACUAUGUGGAUCUCACAGCUGCUUCUCCUACUAGUGUGCAUCAGAACUGAGCUCUCUGAUGGGCAAGCUUGUGACCGUAGCCUCUUCAUCGAUACAGACUUCCCCGGAAAGGAUUUUAAACAAAUCAUAACAUCCAGC